rnacentral:rRNA from 1 species
CAGUCGCGGUAAUACGAAGGGUGCAAGCGUUAAUCGGAAUUACUGGGCGUAAAGCGUGCGUAGGCGGUUUGUUAAGUCUGUUGUGAAAUCCCCGGGCUCAACCUGGGAAUGGCAAUGGAUACUGGCAAGCUAGAGUGUGUCAGAGGAUGGUGGAAUUCCCGGUGUAGCGGUGAAAUGCGUAGAGAUCGGGAGGAACAUCAGUGGCGAAGGCGGCCAUCUGGGACAACACUGACGCUCAUGCACGAAAGCGUGGGGAGCAAACAGGAUUAGAUACCCCGGUAGUCCCUGUCUCUUAUACACA